UCCGGUUUGGCACCGGCGGUCUCCCAUGAGUCCCCGGCAUGACCCGCUGGCAACAUGGGACAGGGGUUGCGCUCGUUGCGCCACUUAAGGCAACACCUCACGGCACGAGCUGACGACAGCCAUGCAGCACCUGUGCCGGCUCCCGAAGGAGCACCGUGUUUCCACGGUUUCACCCGGCAUGUCAAGCCCUGGUAAGGUGGGGAUGACGUUUACGUGCACUU
rnacentral:misc_RNA from 1 species